rnacentral:lncRNA from 11 species
GUGGGGUUGAAAAGAGGAGGGAAGGGGCCGAGGGAGAGAUCACAUGCAGCAAAAGAAACACUUUAAAGAGCAGACUAACUAUGGAACAAGAGACAACUUUGGUUGCCUUGGUAGAUGGCCUACACUGAGAACUGGACAGGUGGAGCAUGUCCCUGUUAGUUCUGCUGGACUUCUCAGCCACUUUUGA